UACGUAGGGGGCAAGCGUUAUCCGGAUUUACUGGGUGUAAAGGGAGCGUAGACGGCGAUGCAAGUCUGAAGUGAAAGCCCGGGGCUCAACCCCGGGACUGCUUUGGAAACUGGUAGACUUGAGUGCAGGAGAGGAGAGUGGAAUUCCAUGUGUAGCGGUGAAAUGCGUAGAUAUAUGGAGGAACACCGGUGGCGAAAGCGGCUCUCUGGCCUGUAACUGACACUGAGGCUCGAAAGCGUGGGGAGCAAACAGG
rnacentral:rRNA from 1 species